UACGAAGGGAGCUAGCGUUACUCGGAAUAACUGGGCGUAAAGCGCAUGUAGGCGGAAAUACAAGUCAGGGGUGAAAUCCCGAGGCUCAACCUCGGAAUUGCCUUUGAAACUGUAUUUCUUGAGUAUGGCAGAGGAUGGUGGAAUUUCCAGUGUAGAGGUGAAAUUCGUAGAUAUUGGAAAGAACACCGGUGGCGAAGGCGACCAUCUGGGCCAUAACUGACGCUGAGAUGCGAAAGCGUGGGGAGCAAACAGG
rnacentral:rRNA from 1 species